AGUCGCGCGGGAGAGAGGGAGCUCGCUUCCCCACGCAGCGGCGGAGGGGUGAGUAGCACGUGGGCAACCCACCCAUAGUCCGGGAGAGCUCCGGGAAACCGGGGCUAAUACCGAAUAAUCUACCUACCUCAUGGUGAAAUACCGAAAGACGGUUUCGGCCGUCGCUAUAGGAUGGGCCCGCGGCGCAUUAGCUAGUUGGUGAGGUAACGGCUCACCAAGGCGACGAUGCGUAGCCGACCUGAGAGGGUGAUCGGCCACACUGGGACUGAGACACGGCCCAGACUCCUACGGGAGGCAGCAGUAGGGAAUCUUCCACAAUGGGCGAAAGCCUGAUGGAGCAACGCCGCGUGAGUGAAGAAGGAUUUCGGUUCGUAAAACUCUGUUGUAAGGGAAGAACAAGUACAGUAGUAACUGGCUGUACCUUGACGGUACCUUAUUUAGAAAGCCACGGCUAACUACGUGCCAGCAGCCGCGGUAAUACCGUAGGUGGCAAGCGUUGUCCGGAAUUAUUGGGCGUAAAGCGCGCGCAAGUGGUUUCUUAAGUCCGAUGUGAAAGCCCCACGGCUCACCCUGGAAGGGUCAUUUGGAAACUGGGAGACUUGAGUGCAGAAGAAGAUAAGUGGAAUUCCAGUGUUAGCGGGGAAAUGCGUAAAAGAAUUUGGAGGAACACAGUUGGCGAAGGCGACUAUCUGGUCUGUAACUGACACUGAGCGCGAAAGCGUGGGGAGCAAACAGGAUUAGAUACCCUGGUAGUCAAGGGCG
rnacentral:rRNA from 1 species